UUAUAGUUAUGUUAAAGGUUUUAAAUUGAGAGGUACUUUAUUACAUUUUGGAAUUUUAGAGUGAGGACUUGCAUUAGAGGAUUAUAAUUUCCCUUUUGAUAAUAUGAAAGCAAAAAUUGCAGUAAUAGAUCAGAUCCAAAAAGGAAUUUUUUCUCUGACAUUUUCCAACAAAUAUAAUACUAGAUUGUUUCAGAAUAAGUUUUCCUUUAUGAAAGUUACUUAUUCUGCUGAUACCUCACCUUCACCAGUCAACAACUGAGCAUGUCCAUUAACCACAUGUAAAAUUACGGUUUAUGUUGCCUCUUUUGUAUUUCUUUCUUCCUCCCAUCAAAAAUAUCUUUGCCCUAGGUUAUCCCUAUUUCUGCUUUUCACAUCACCCAGCUGAACAGUACCUAUCCUAACCAGUCUGAGACAAGCUAGGAUUCUACCCAGUGUCCCUGCCUAAACCAAACCAGCUCUGAUCUCCAGCUCCUAUGGCUAAUCUGCAGUGCUUUGGUUUUUAUUUAUUUUGUUUUCUAAUCCAACAUGAUCAGUUCAUUUCUGAGCUUUUAAUAUUUAUUUUCCAGUUAUAAUUUCCAGGUAUAUUUCCAGGUCCUGCUACCGAGAAGAAAUCCACACCAUGUUUAAGUUAAAUGUUAUAUAGUAAUGGACCCAUGAUAAUACAUUUCAGGACUUACUUAUUCUAUGUAGGAUUGUGUAUUGAUAGGAAGAAGGAAUUUCUGGCAGGGACCUCUGAGGGACAACAACCUGCUUUGCCCGGGAGAAAGGAAGUCUCUGUAAACCCUUGCCUGAAGGUACGUGAUUCUGUUGUCUGCUGAGCUUCUGCCCGUGUGACUUGUCAGAGGAUUCUGCUGGCUUGUGCACGCUCACCACUACAUAGAUUACGAGCUUGAUGCACAGUAUGUUUUAUCCUCAUUAAGGUAACUGUGACAAAUAUCAUUAUACAUUGUCACAUCUUCCUGGUUUUAUCCUUUUUUUCAAUUCCUACUCUUCUACUCUAUGAAAUUUUACAGGAUGGAAUUACAUAGGUUGAUUGUGCAUUUUGUUUAGGCACAAACACAUAUAUAAAUGUAGAUAUAUUUAUAUAAAUGUCUCUGUGUGUUUUCAUUUUGUUGUCUUUCAAUAUCCUUGCACCCUCCUGUUCUAGAAAAGAACGCCUCAUUUCUUGCCUAUAGUUUGUAAGAGCACCAAAGAAAAUUAGCAGUCUAAAAUCUUGCUUUCAUAUGCCUUAGACACUUUUGAAAAUGCAGCUUAAAAGGCUUAAAUUGCGUAAGUAUAUUUGGAAAUGCUGCUCUGCGUCUGUGAUAUCUGUCAUUUUACAUGGUUUCAUUAUAUGCCCUCUUACUUAUAAUCCUUAUCCUGUCUCUUUAAACAAAAUGUUUCAAGAUGCAUCCUUCAGCUCUAAUCCCCUUCUGUUUGUGCUGUAUCUAUUUCGAGAUGGGAUAAUCAGAACUGAAGUUCACAUUCUAGGGGAAGAGUGACAUGUAACCACAUCAAAGGUCUGAAGCAAUGUGUCCAGUGCUGUGCACCUUCCGAAGAGCAAAACUGAAGCAGUCUUCCAAUCUAGUUGCUGGAUUGCUGGUGAGCAGAUAAAAAUGCAAGUUUGAGCACCAGCUCCAUCAAGAACAGCAGACCACCAGUGUGCCCAGUGCCUCUGAGCAGUAGUCUCAUCUGAGCUCAGUGAGGUCACCGAUCUGGCCUCCUCCUCCCUUGCAUUCAUCAUCGUGAACAAGACGGAAAUUGCCUUAUUUCUCACCAUCCAGAAAGAGAGGAUGUCAUUUAAAAGAAGAGGAAGUUGUCUUCUUGUGGAAAUGACCCUGGUGCGGGGCACUGUGUCCCUGCCAUGCCUUUCUGAGCAUCGACACCCUGAGGAACGAGUGGCUUGUAAAGGGACAGGUUGCUGAAGGGUUCAUACCUUUCUGCUCUCUCCGUCCCUCUUUCUGCCAUCCUAAUAAUCUCUGCUUAGCAUUAAGAGUCUGGGUGUGGAAGUGCCUUUAUCGCAGGCACAACGAUGGCUGCUUUCAACUAUUCUAACACCUGAAACGGGGGUUUGCAGUUCCCCGACCAUCCCGAUCGCUGCCCGAACUGUUGGGCCCUUCAAAAUGAUUCCCUCCUCUCCUGUCUCCCCAUUUUAAUGCUCUUAUACUGAAUCUCCACUGGGGCUAUGUGAUUUUCUGCCUUUUCCUGUUGCUUUAUGAAAAAGCAUAAACAUAGCCAAGGCUUUUAGCAUUCCCCAUUAUCCUCCAAAUAAUACAACAGAAUUUAAUGUUUGUUUUUUUU